rnacentral:SRP_RNA from 1 species
GCCAGGCAUGGUGGCGUGUGCCUGUAAUCCCAGCUACUUGGGAGGCUGAGACAGGAGAAUUGCUUGAACUCGGGAGGCGGAGGUUGCAGUGAGCCGAGAUUGCGCCACUGCACUCUAGCCUGGGUGACAGAGUGAGACUCCGUCUCAA